rnacentral:rRNA from 1 species
UCCUGGCUAGGACGAACGCUGGCGGCGUGCCUAAUACAUGCAAGUCGAACGGUCUUUCUAUGGAAGCUUGCUUCCACUGAGAAGAUAGUGGCGAACGGGUGAGUAACACGUGGGUAACCUGCCCAUAAGAGGGGGGAUAACACCCGGAAACGGGUGCUAAUACCGCAUAGUUUUCUUGAUCGCAUGAUCGGGAAAGGAAAGACGGCCUUUGUGCUGUCGCUUAUGGAUGGACCCGCGGCGUAUUAGUUAGUUGGUGAGGUAACGGCUCACCAAGACGAUGAUACGUAGCCGACCUGAGAGGGUGAUCGGCCACAUUGGGACUGAGACACGGCCCAAACUCCUACGGGAGGCAGCAGUAGGGAAUCUUCCGCAAUGGACGAAAGUCUGACGGAGCAACGCCGCGUGAGUGAAGAAAAGGUUUUCGGAUCGUAAAACUCUGUUGUCAGAGAAGAACAAGUUGGAGAGUAACUGCUCCAGCCUUGACGGUAUCUGACCAGAAAGCCACGGCUAACUACGUGCCAGCCGCAGC